UAUAAUUGUUGUUAUCAUCGUCAUUAACAUCGUUAUCAUCAUUAUCAUCAUCAUUACCGUCAUUACCGCCCCUACCUUACCUGUCCUCCGUAUCCCACCUACCACACUCCCGUGCAAAUAAAGCUUCGAAGCAGCGACAACUUUCACUUACAAGAACAAACCACCACCAUACAAGAAGAGAGAGAGGGGAGACAAAGCAUCCACCUGUUAUUACAUACACUCCCAAACACACACAUGCAUACAUAAAUACGCGCGCGCACACGUACACGCGCACAGACCUAUAAUUUAUGUUCAAAAUUGACCCUCCUUUUCCCAGCUCAUAUCCGUGUCGUGGGUGGUUUUGAGGCAGCACCACACAAAUACCCAUACCAAGCUGCUGUGAUUCAAGAUUCCUAUUUUAUCUGCGGAGGCGUCCUGGUUAAUGACCAGUUUGUGCUGACUGCUGCCCAUUGCGUGACUACGUAAAGUCUUCCCCAUUGACCUGCCGAGCAACAACGUGCAUCUUGGAAUGCCCUUAGUGAUAACUGGUUUUGGCAUCACCAAGACAGGAGUAAAACCAUUUUCGGUUCUCCAAAAAAACGUCAACUUCUGCCAUCGGUCUGUGUCGAUGUAAGCAGGCGUUUCCAUGGUUGGACAGCAGCAUGUUCUGUGUGUACUGUACGUGCCAGAAUCGCCAGCAACCGUAUGUAGUGGCGGCUCAGGAAGUCCAGCAGCUUACAACAACUACGUCAUGAGGAUCGCUUCGUUUGUUGCGAAGGAGUGUUUACCAACGUACCCACAAAGUUUUACGAAUGUCUUUGCGGCCAAGAACUGGAUUGAGAAUGUAAUGGAAGGAUCGGAACGUUCUGCAUCCGGUCCCUCGUUGCCUAGUCCGUGCACUCUUUUAGUUCUGUUUUUGG